AAGAUUAGGAUAGCGCCUGACCUAACCAUGGUGACGAGGAUUGAGUCGAUCGAAAUAUUCGGCGGAUGGCUCAAGGCAGUGCAGUCUACAGAAAUAAGUUAAAGCAUGUUCCGAAAGGACUUGGACAGAGCUUAUUUCAGCACCAAAA
rnacentral:ncRNA from 2 species